CCUACGGGUGGCAGCAGUGAGGAAUAUUGGUCAAUGGACGAGAGCCUGAACCAGCCAAGUAGCGUGAAGGAUGACUGCCCUAUGGGUUGUAAACUGCUUUUAUAUGGGAAUAAAACGUUCCACGUGUGGGAUUUUGUAUGUACCAUAUGAAUAAGGAUCGGCUAACUCCGUGCCAGCAGCCGCGGUAAUACGGAGGAUCCGAGCGUUAUCCGGAUUUCUUGGGUUUAAAGGGAGCGUAGGUGGCUUGUUAAGUGUGUUGUGAAAGUUUGGGGCUCAACCGUAGAAUUGCAGUUGAAACUGGCAUUCUUGAGUACAGGAGAGGCAGGCGGAAUUCGUGGUGUAGCGGUGAAAUGCUUAGAUAUCACGAAGAACCCCGAUUGCGAAGGCAGCUCGCUGGACUGCAACUGACACUGAGGCUCGAAAGUGUGGGUAUCAAACAGGAUUAGAUACCCUUGUAGUC
rnacentral:rRNA from 1 species